CCUACGGGGGGCUGCAGUGGGGAAUAUUGGACAAUGGGGGCAACCCUGAUCCAGCCAUGCCGCGUGUGUGAAGAAGGCCCUCGGGUUGUAAAGCACUUUCAGUGAGGAAGAACGCCUGGUGGUUAAUACCCAUCAGGAAAGACAUCACUCACAGAAGAAGCACCGGCUAACUCCGUGCCAGCAGCCGCGGUAAUACGGAGGGUGCGAGCGUUAAUCGGAAUUACUGGGCGUAAAGCGCGCGUAGGUGGCUUGAUAAGCCGGUUGUGAAAGCCCCGGGCUCAACCUGGGAACGGCAUCCGGAACUGUCAAGCUAGAGUGCAGGAGAGGAAGGUAGAAUUCCCGGUUUAGCGGUGAAAUGCGUAGAGAUCGGGAGGAAUACCAGUGGCGAAGGCGGCCUUCUGGACUGACACUGACACUGAGGUGCGAAAGCGUGGGUAGCAAACAGGAUUAGAUACCCUUGUAGUC
rnacentral:rRNA from 1 species